GCGCCUGUGACGGAAUUGGCAGACGUGCAAGAUUUAGGUUCUUGUGUCAGUAGACGUGGGGGUUCAAGUCCCUUCAGGCGUACCA
rnacentral:tRNA from 1 species